AGAACGAACGCUGGCGGCGUGCCUAACACAUGCAAGUCGAGCGCGAAUAGGGGCAACCCUUAGUAGAGCGGCGCACGGGUGCGUAACACGUGGGUAAUCUGCCUGGAAGCCUGGGAUAACUAGCCGAAAGGUUAGCUAAUACCAGAUGAGACCACGGACUCUUCGGAGUCGUGAAGGGAAAAGGUCGGCCUCUGUAUACAAGCUAUCACUUCCAGAUGAGCCCGCGGCCCAUCAGCUAGGUUGGCGGGGUAAUCGGCCCACCGAAGGACCAACGGACGGGUAGCGUGUCUAGAGAGGACGAUCAGCCACACUGGACUGACGACACGGUCCAGACUACCGUACGGGAGGACAGGCAGGUGGGGUAAUUU
rnacentral:rRNA from 1 species